rnacentral:rRNA from 1 species
UACGGAGGGUGCGAGCGUUACUCGGAAUUACUGGGCUUAAAGGGUGCGUAGGCGGCGCGGAAAGUAGGGUGUGAAAUCCCUCGGCUCAACCGAGGAAUUGCGCCCUAAACUACCGUGCUCGAGGGAGAUAGAGGUGAGCGGAACUUAGGGUGGAGCGGUGAAAUGCGUUGAUAUCCUAAGGAACACCGGUGGCGAAAGCGGCUCACUGGAUCUCUUCUGACGCUGAGGCACGAAAGCUAGGGUAGCGAACGGG